GACGAACGCUGGCGGCGUGCUUAACACAUGCAAGUCGAACGGAAAGGCCCUGCUUGCAGGGUACUCGAGUGGCGAACGGGUGAGUAACACGUGGGUGAUCUGCCCUGCACUUCGGGAUAAGCCUGGGAAACUGGGUCUAAUACCGGAUAGGAGCCAUUUUGAGUGUGAUGGUUGGAAAGUUUUUUCGGUGUAGGAUGAGCUCGCGGCCUAUCAGCUUGUUGGUGGGGUAAUGGCCUACCAAGGCGGCGACGGGUAGCCGGCCUGAGAGGGUGGACGGCCACAUUGGGACUGAGAUACGGCCCAGACUCCUACGGGAGGCAGCAGUGGGGAAUAUUGCACAAUGGGCGCAAGCCUGAUGCAGCGACGCCGCGUGUGGGAUGACGGCCUUCGGGUUGUAAACUCCUUUCGCUAGGGACGAAGCUUUUUGUGACGGUACCUAGAUAAGAAGCACCGGCUAACUACGUG
rnacentral:rRNA from 1 species